CUUGUGGAUAUGGAAGUUCUGAAACAAGCAACUCAGACUCUCUUCUACGGUACAUGCAGUUGCCGAUAUUCGAUUUUGAUACAUGCAAAAAGAGGUAUGCAGCCGUCGAUGAUGAACUAAGUGACAACCAUUUUUGCGUUGGGAAUAUAUUCAUGAAAUUUUUCUACACAGGUGACUCUGGAGGAUGCAUAAUGUAUCAGAAUGAAACUACAAAUGAUAGAGUUUGUAUAGGAAUGAUUUCUUUUGCUUAUGAUGAUAUCGUAGAAGCCUGGCCCCAAGUACAAGUAAAAUUGUCAAAUUAUUUAGACUGGAU